rnacentral:rRNA from 1 species
UACGUAGGGGGCAAGCGUUGUCCGGAAUCACUGGGCGUAAAGAGCGUGUAGGCGGUCCGAUAAGUCCGCUCUGAAAGUCCGGGGCUCAACCCCGGGAGGCGGGCGGAUACUGUCGGGCUAGAGUCCGGAAGAGGCAAGUGGAAUUCCUGGUGUAGCGGUGAAAUGCGCAGAUAUCAGGAGGAACACCGAUGGCGAAGGCAGCUUGCUGGGACGGUACUGACGCUGAGACGCGAAAGCGUGGGGAGCAAACAGG